GGCGCUAUAGUUUAAUAAUUAAAGCGUUAAAGUCCUAUAUUAAAUAACCGUAUAAUAUUUUUAAAUUAUAUUUAAUAGUAUACUCCUUAGAUUAUCUUUAAUAAUUAUUUUUAAAGGUCGCGGGUUUAAAUCCCGUCGGCGCUA